rnacentral:rRNA from 1 species
GGAAUAUUGCACAAUGGGCGCAAGCCUGAUGCAGCCAUGCCGCGUGUAUGAAGAAGGCCUUCGGGUUGUAAAGUACUUUCAGCGGGGAGGAAGGGAGUAAGGUUAAUAACCUUGCUCAUUGACGUUACCCGCAGAAGAAGCACCGGCUAACUCCGUGCCAGCAGCUGCGGUAAUACGGAGGGUGCCAGCGUUAAUCGGAAUUACUGGGCGUAAAGCGAACGCAGGCGGUCUGUCAAGUCGGAAGUGAAAUCCCCGGGCUCAACCUGGGAACUGAAUACGAAACUGGCAGGCUUGAGUCUCGUAGAGGGGGGUAGAAUUCCAGGUGUAGCGGUGAAAUGCGUAGAGAUCUGGAGGAAUACCGGUGGCGAAGGCGGCCCCCUGGACGAAGACUGACGCUCAGGUGCGAAAGCGUGGGGAGCA